UCUCGCUCGCUCUGGUGUGAGCACGGAGCUGCGCCUCGGCCGUCCUGUCCGGCCGCCGCCGGCGGCGGCGAAAGCCACCGCGCCGCGCGCGCGUCCUCUUCCUUCCCCUUUCUCUGUUUCUCCCCAUCUCCCGCAACAGAGAGCGUGAGAGAGAGCAGAGAGGCGCAGCCGGCCUUCCCGAUGCGGCGGGUGGAGCCACGCCGGCCACCGGCGACGGCGUCGAGCCGCGCUGUGCGAGCCUUCCCUUUCCCCCUUCCUUUCUCUUUCCCUUUCUCUGUUUCACCCAUCCACCACCUCCUUCUUUUAGAGAGAGAGAGAGAGAGCCGUGAGCUGCGGUGCGCGAUACGGCGGCGCCCUCCCUGUCCCCUUUGCCGGCGUGCGCGAGCACCUCGAUGGUGAACGCGCCGCCGUCAAACGGCUCGGUGGCGGUGCCUGUACUUUGCCCCUAUGGGGGGGGGGGGGGGGGGUGGUUCUUCGUCCCUGUCGCCUCGGCUUGCCGAUGCGCGACGGGAUCGAGAGGAACAGGCGCGGCCUUACGGCGGCGCUCUUUUCUUCUUUGCCCUUCUAGGGUUCUUUGGGGGAGGGUAACUUUUUUCUUUGUGAUCUAUUUCAACUGAAAAAAUCCUAUACCCAACCUGUCUGAUACCAUUGAUAGAUCCAUGGGAUCGUGUAGGGUAGGAUUAGAUCCGGUGAACCUACCUUCUCCAGCAGUGGAUGAACUUGAGCCGGAGACCAUCGUGGUGCUGGGGCGCACGGCGAUGGCGGAGAAUGGGCGAGGUGGCGGAGCUUCCCGUGAGCACCGCGCUAACCCUAGAUCGGUAGGGAUUGUAGGUGGGGAUUGUGGCAGCGAUUAACCUUGUAAGUCGUGCCCCGGCCCCCACCUCUGUUUAUAUAGCGCGGGUCGCAGGGGCCCACCAACCAUGGUUUGGUUGGGCGCCCCCGAUCAGGGCGCGAGUCAGGGGCCCGUUCGACCCGUUGGGUUCGAACGGGAGAGAGAUCAACCUAACAUCUUCCACAUUUGAAGGCAUCAUAGUUUUCUUUCUCCGUAGAACUUGGUGUCUCAUAUGCCAUAUACCGAACAAAAACAUCCGGCUCUGUUGAUUUUCCUUGCUCUAAGUUUGACCGUCAAAGCUAUACUUUGGGAAUUCUGCAGUGGCAACUAUAGAUAUGGGUCUGGUUUUGAGUUUCCAUUUCUCCUCUUUCAUGCAAAGGUUGCUAUGUAUGGUUGAUUGAUUGAGCUUUACGGAUUAUGUUUCCUUCCUCUCUACCUUCAGCGAGCGCAAGGGUCAGCAUUCAGCAAAAGAUUGAGUGUAAUGCUUAACCAUGUUUGAAUUUAGCUUCUUGUUUUUUUCUCUCUUUUGAUUUUCGAAACGAGUAUAUGUUGAUUAUGAACUUAUUGCCCUCAUGAUAACUCAUUUUCCGGUUUUGAUUUUGUUUUAUGUUUCAUGGAACAGUGACAUUUAAGGUGUAUGGUAUCGAUGGGCAAGGGGGGAGUAACCUUCAGGGACCUGGUAGAGGUUUUAUGGGACCCAUAACAUUCUAACAGGGGCAUCCAUGUCAGAGCAAGAAAGAUGUGACCGUUUCCUCAUUUCUUCUUCACAUAACUGGCAUCCUAACAUCAAAAACACAUCAAGGGAGAAUAAAUACUUUUCCGAAGCGCUCCAUGCCACUCAAUCCAAGUACUGACAAAGGUGUUGGAAGGAGCCGGGUACACACAGGAUUCCACGCUAUCAGUAGAAGAUUUUUUGACGGUACAAAGCUAAACCUUGCUUACCUUUCUUAUCAUAGCUGUAAUACUGUGGCAGUUUUGUCUGAAUAAUAGAAAAACAUAGCUAAUUUGGUUAUACUAUUACCCAGUGUGGCUACUAGCACUCAUCUACAAUCUAUAUGGACAGUUGCAUAGCUAUAUUGUUUUUGUUCUGUAGUUAGGAUGGCGCGUGCAGGUUUCAGUAGAUGAGGAUGCAAGGAGCUCUCUGUCUGCUGGAAACAAGUGCCCAUAGCCAAUACAGCGUGCUGACAGAACUGUUUGAGUUCUUGCGUACCUGUCCACAUAAUGCCCGAAUCUUACAAUGCAGUGCCAAUUUAGAGUCAUUUUUCUUUCUGUGUUUCAGGGUAUUAAUGAUGCUGUGUCAAUAUAGAGUGCAUCUUGUUACAGUUUCCAAACUUUCAAAACGUUGCAAACUUAAAUUGUUAAGUACAGGAAGUCAGUAUUUGUACGGGAAAUCAUAAUCUCACCUUGGGUUCAUGUGAACUAGGUAUUUGUAACUUGGCGAAAAUUCAUAUAUAGUAUUUUAAAAAUUGUGAAAAAGCGUGCUGGACGACACACAUAACAUGUGAAAAGUGGAAAAUAUAAUUAGUUAUGCUACUUAUAUUUCCUUUUUUCCGUCAGCUAGAAAAUGCUCUUAUUUGCUCCCCAAAUUUCAAGAGUAUGUGUCUUCUUAUCCUCGAUAUUGAUUAUUGUUUUGACUUUUUUUAAACUUGUUGAUACGAUUUUCCGCUAAUGUUAAUGUGAAAUUCAGUAGACCCGCAGACCAACAUGCUUUUGAUAAUAAUCUUGCUCGUAAUUUGGUCGAUGAACCCUUAGAUGUCAUCGUAGAAAACCUUGCAAACGAUGUACUCCCUCCGUCCGAAAAAAGUUGUCCGCACCUUAGUUCAUUUGUAAUUUUGUGAAAAAACCCUUCCACCUUUUAAACUGUUGCUAAUCAGCCCCCCACUGCUUCUUCCUCCUUCCUCCGUCGCCCGCCCGCACCGUGGUCGCCCCAGCCACCACCGGCACCAGCUGUCGGGCCCAGAGAUCGACGACGGCCAACCUGCGCCGGCCACACGGAGACUGCUCAAGCUCCUGCUGCUCCGUGUUCAUCGAGAAGAACUGGAGCCCCCACCAGCGAGGCCCUGGCCCCCGAUCCGGACCCCAAUCCGCCCCCCGGCAGCGAGGCCCUGGCCGUGCUCUUCCUCCGUGCCUCUGGACUGCCCGCGGACUUCGCCGCCGGCGGCCACGAGAUCACCGGGAAAGACGAGGAUGAGGGGUACGUGACGGCCGCGUCCAGGGGCGGGAGCAGCACGGCCGCGUCCCGGAGGAGGGAGGAGUUCCAGGGGCUCGAGGAGUAGGACGGCUGCAGCGACGCCGGCCCGCCCAGUCCCAGCAGCAGCGGCUACGCCGGCGAGCAGGGGAAGAAGAAGGUCCUGCUCUUGCUGCUGUUGCUCCUCCGCCCGGAGCUCCUCUGCAGGACCGUCGGCUGCUGGUGGUGGUGGUGGUGGACGCCUCUGCUGCCACCCCUCUGCCCGUGCACGUGGCAGUGCUGCUACUCCUCUGCCCUGCUCCUUGUGCUGCCGCUAGAGCUUGUGUUCCUCAGGAAGAAGGAUGUAAAAUUCAGUUAAAAUUUCAGGGUUCAAUUAAUCUGUACUCCAAAAAUUUAUUGUGUAAUUUCAGCAAUGCAGCAUUGAGCCUGAACCUUUUUGACAGUACACAAGUUUGAAUUGUGAGUAAUAUCCUAAUCUGUAUAGUGACUGUAAAUUGUCCCA